rnacentral:rRNA from 1 species
CACCGCGGUUAUACGAGAGGCCCAAGUUGAUACUUUCCGGCGUAAAGAGUGGUUAUGGUAAAUUUAAACUAAGGCCGCACCCCUUCAAAGCUGUCGUACGCACUCGAAGGACGGAAGACCAACCACGAAAGUGGCUUUAUAAACCCUGACCCCACGAAAGCUAUGCCA